UGUAUAAUGGGUCAGCGACUUAUGUUCAGUGGCGAGGUUAACCGUUUAGGGGAGCCGUAGGGAAACCGAGUCUGAAUAGGGCGAUUUAGUCGCUGGGCAUAGACCCGAAACCGGGCGAUCUAUCCAUGAGCAGGUUGAAGGUUGGGUAACACUAACUGGAGGACCGAACCGACUACCUUUGAAAAGUUAGCGGAUGACCUGUGGAUCGGAGUGAAAGGCUAAUCAAGCCCGGAGAUAGCUGGUUCUCCUCGAAAGCUAUUUAGGUAGCGCCUCAUGUAUCACUGUAGGGGGUAGAGCACUGUUUCGGCUAGGGGGUCAUCCCGACUUACCAAACCGAUGCAAACUCCGAAUACCAAUGAGUACUAUCCGGGAGACAGACUGCGGGUGCUAACGUCCGUAGUCAAGAGGAAAACAAUCCAGACCGCCAGCUAAGGCCCCAAAAUUAUAGUUAAGUGGGAAACGAUGUGGGAAGGCACAGACAGCUAGGAGGUUGGCUU
rnacentral:rRNA from 11 species